rnacentral:rRNA from 1 species
CGGGAUAAGCGGUGGAAACGCCGUCUAAUACCGGAUACGACCGGCCACCUCAUGGUGGACGGUGGAAAGUUUUUCGGUCGGGGAUGGGCUCGCGGCCUAUCAGCUAGUUGGUGGGGUAAAGGCCUACCAAGGCGAUUACGGGUAGCCGGCCUGAGAGGGCGACCGGCCACACUGGGACUGAGACACGGCCCAGACUCCUGCGGGAGGCAGCAGUGGGGAAUAUUGCGCAAUGGGCGAAAGCCUGACGCAGCGACGCCGCGUGGGGGAUGACGGCCUUCGGGUUGUAAACCUCUUUUACCACCAACGCAGGCUCCCAGUUCUCUGGGGGUUGACGGUAGGUGGGGAAUAAGGACCGGCUAACUACGUGCCAGCAGCCGCGGUAAUACGUAGGGUCCGAGCGUUGUCCGGAAUUAUUGGGCGUAAAGAGCUCGUAGGCGGCGUGUCGCGUCUGCUGUGAAAGACCGGGGCUUAACUCCGGUUCUGCAGUGGAUACGGGCAUGCUAGAGGUAGGUAGGGGAGACUGGAAUUCCUGGUGUAGCGGUGAAAUGCGCAGAUAUCAGGAGGAACACCGGUGGCGAAGGCGGGUCUCUGGGCCUUACCUGACGCUGAGGAGCGAAAGCAUGGGGAGCGAACAGGAUUAGAUACCCUGGUAGUCCAUGCCGUAAACGUUGGGCGCUAGGUGUGGGGACUUUCCACGGUUUCCGCGCCGUAGCUAACGCAUUAAGCGCCCCGCCUGGGGAGUACGGCCGC